AACCCUUAUCCCCAGUUGCCAUCAGGUAAAGCUGGGGAACUCUGGGGAGACUGCCGGUGAUAAACCGGAGGAAGGCGGGGAUGACGUCAAGUCCUCAUGGCCCUUACAUCCCGGGCUACACACGUGCUACAAUGGCAGGUACAGAGGGCUGCGAAGCCGCGAGGUGGAGCGAAUCCCAGAAAACCUGUCUCAGUCCGGAUUGAAGUCUGCAACUCGACUUCAUGAAGGCGGAAUCGCUAGUAACCGCGAAUCAGCAGGUCGCGGUGAAUACGUUCCCGGGCCUU
rnacentral:rRNA from 1 species